CAAAAGUUGUGCUACCUCCACAUUCAGGGUCCUUUCAUGUCCACCAGUCUCACAAUUUUACUUGCAAAGCUAGGGGAUAUCCAGAUCCCACCGUCACCAUGACAUUUUACAUGUUUACAGGCCACAUAAACACACAACAACAUUUGUUAAUAUACCAUAACAAUGGAACGGUAAUUUGUAACAUGAUUGAUAUGCAAGAAUCUGGUAUUCUGGUUUGCAAGGCAGCUAAUAAGUUUGGAGAAGUUUCAGCAUCAGCUCAUAUCAUUGUUACACAGUCAGCACCAAUUGUAGGAUAACGCAGAGCAUGUGAAAAGACAGAGACUUGU